rnacentral:rRNA from 1 species
AACGAACGCUGGCGGCAGGCCUAACACAUGCAAGUCGAACGCCCCUUUCGGGGGGAGUGGCAGACGGGUGAGUAACGCGUGGGAACGUGCCCAUCGGUUCGGGAUAACCCAGGGAAACUUGGGCUAAGACCGGAUACGUGCGAGAGCAGAAAGAUUUAUCGCCGAUGGAUCGGCCCGCGUCUGAUUAGCUAGUUGGUGGGGUAAUGGCUCACCAAGGCGACGAUCAGUAGCUGGUCUGAGAGGAUGAUCAGCCACACUGGGACUGAGACACGGCCCAGACUCCUACGGGAGGCAGCAGUGGGGAAUAUUGGACAAUGGGCGCAAGCCUGAUCCAGCCAUGCCGCGUGAGUGAUGAAGGCCCUAGGGUUGUAAAGCUCUUUCGCACGCGACGAUAAUGACGGUAGCGUGAGAAGAAGCCCCGGCUAACUUCGUGCCAGCCGCCGCCGUAACAC